rnacentral:rRNA from 1 species
UACGUAGGGUCCGAGCGUUGUCCGGAUUUAUUGGGCGUAAAGAGCUCGUAGGCGGUUUCGUAAGUCGGAUGUGAAAACUCAGGGCUCAACCCGGAGACGCCAUCCGAUACUGCGAUGACUGGAGUCUGGUAGGGGAUCACGGAAUACCUGGUGUAGCGGUGAGAUGCGCAGAUAUCGGGAGGAACACCGGUGGCGAAGGCGGUUCUCUGGGCCUUACCUGACGCUGAGGAGCGAAAGCGUGGGGAGCGAACAGG